rnacentral:ncRNA from 1 species
ACACAACUCUGGAGAGUGUCACGAGAGUGACCACCCAAGGGGUAACUUUCUUCACGGCAAAGCUGCAAGUGGCAGUGGUCGCAAGUGGAAGGGAAACUCUCAGGUUAAAGGACAGAGCA